GAUAAACGCUGGCGGUGUGCUUUAUGCAUGCAAGUCGAACGGUACCGAUGAGCCAAGCUUGCUUGGAACAUGCGGAGAGUGGCAAACGGGUGAGUAACACGUAAGUAACCUGCCCCUAAGUAGGGGAUAACUCUGAGAAAUUGGAGCUAAUACCGUAUGAUGGGUGGUGGAGGUAAGGCUUCAUCACUAAAGCCUUCGGGCGCUUGGGGAGGGGCUUGUGUCCGAUUAGCUAGUUGGUAGGGUAACGGUUUACCAAGGCGAUGAUCGGUAGCUGGUCUGAGAGGACGAUCAGCCACACUGGGACUGAGAUACGGCCCAGACUCCUAUGGGAGGCAGCAGCAAGGAAUUUUGUGCAAUGGGCGAAAGCCUGACACAGCGACACCGCGUGGGGGAUGAAGGCCUUCGGGUUGUAAACCUCUUUUCUCAGGGAAGAAUAAUGACGGUACCUGAGGAAUAAGUCUCGGCUAACUACGUGCCAGCAGCCGCGGUAAUACGUAGGAGGCGAGCGUUAUCCGGAUUUACUGGGCGUAAAGAGGGCGUAGGCGGCUUUUCAAGUCGGGUGUGAAAUCUCCCCGCUUAAUGGGGAGGGGUCAUUCGAUACUGUUAAGCUAGAGGACAGCAGAGGGAGGUGGAAUUCCCGGUGGGGUGGUGAAAUGCGUAGAUAUCGGGAGGAACACCAGUGGCGAAGGCGGCCUCCUGGGCUGUUUCUGACGUUGAGGCCCGAAAGCGUGGGGAGCGAACAGGAUUAGAUACCCUGGUAGUCCAUGCCGUAAACGAUGGACACCAGGUAUAGGGAGUAUCGACCCUCUCUGUGCCGAAGCUAACGCAUUAAGUGUCCCGCCUGGGGAGUACGGCCGCAAGGCUA
rnacentral:rRNA from 1 species